ACCACAUCCAAGGAAGGCAGCAGGCGCGCAAAUUACCCAAUCCCGACACGGGGAGGUAGUGACAAUAAAUAACGAUAUAGGGCUCAUUUGAGUCUUAUAAUUGGAAUGAGUACAAUUUAAAUCCCUUAACGAGAAACAAUUGGAGGGCAAGUCUGGUGCCAGCAGCCGCGGUAAUUCCAGCUCCAAUAGCGUAUAUUAAAGUUGUUGCAGUUAAAAAGCUCGUAGUUGAACUUGAGAUCGGGUUGAGUGGUCUACCUAACGGUGUGUACUGCUCGACUGGGUCUUGUCUCUUGGUGAACCGUUGUGUUCUUCAUUGGAUGCUUCGGGGAACCAGGACUUUUACCUUGAAAAAAUUAGAGUGUUCAAAGCAGGCCUAUGCCUGAAUACAUUAGCAUGGAAUAAUAGAAUAGGACGUGCUGUUCUAUUUUGUUGGUUUUUAGAGCUGCCGUAAUGAUUAAUAGGGAUAGUUGGGGGCAUUCAUAUUCAGUCGCUAGAGGUGAAAUUCUUGGAUUGACUGAAGAUGAACUACUGCGAAAGCAUUUGCCAAGGAUGUUUUCAUUAAUCAAGAACGAAGGUUAAGGGAUCAAAAACGAUCAGAUACCGUUGUAGUCUUAACAGUAAACUAUGCCGACUAGGGAUCGGGUGACCUCUUUAUGAUGUGUUGCUCGGCACCUUACGAGAAAUCAAAGCUUUGGGUUCUGGGGGGAGUAUGGUCGCAAGGCUGAAA
rnacentral:rRNA from 1 species